rnacentral:piRNA from 1 species
UCAGAUUCGUUUUCAAUCUCA